ensembl:rRNA 5S_rRNA 5S ribosomal RNA
GUCCACAGCCAUACCACCCAGAACACACCCAGUCUUGUCUGAUCUUGAAAGCUAAGCAAGGUUGAGCCUGGUUAGUAUUUGGAUGGGAGACCGCCUGUAAAUACUGGGUGCUGUUUUGGGUU